rnacentral:rRNA from 1 species
CCUGUUGCUAGGCUUGAAGCUAUUCGCAUACUGCUAGCCUACGCUAAUCAUCACAACAUCUUGCUAUAUCAAAUGGAUGUAAAGAGUGCAUUUCUCAAUGGCGAGAUUGAAGAAGAAGUAUAUGUCGCACAACCACCUGGCUUUGAAGAUCCAAAACAUCCUGAUAUGGUGUACAAGCUAAACAAAGCACUGUAUGGCCUCAAACAAGCUCCUCGUGCAUGGUAUGAUACGAUCAAAGACUUCCUGGAGAGCAAAGGCUUCAAACCUGGAUCCCUUGAUCCCACACUCUUCACGAAGACAUAUGAUGGCGAACUGUUUGUGUGCCAAAUAUAUGUGGAUGACAUAAUCUUCGGCUGCACCAACCAGAAUUAUAGUGACGAGUUUGGGUACAUGAUGCAAGAGCAAUAUCAGAUGUCCAUGAUGGGUGAGCUGAAGUUCUUCCUUGGUCUUCAAAUUCGUCAGCAAAGAAAUGGCAUCUUCAUAUCUCAAGAAAAAUACCUCAAAGAUUGUCUGAAGAAG